rnacentral:rRNA from 1 species
GACGGAGGAUGCAAGCGUUAUCCGGAAUGAUUGGGCGUAAAGCGUCCGCAGGUGGCAGUUCAAGUCUGCUGUCAAAGACCGGGGCUUAACUUCGGAAAGGCAGUGGAAACUGAACAGCUAGAGUAUGGUAGGGGCAGAGGGAAUUCCUGGUGUAGCGGUGAAAUGCGUAGAUAUCAGGAGGAACACCGAUGGCGAAGGCAGCUGCCUGGCCUAGAACUGACGCUGAGGUGCGAAAGCGUGGGGAGCGAACAGG